GUGCCAGCAGCCGCGGUAAGACGGAGGGGGCAAGCGUUGUCCGGAAUUACUGGGCGUAAAGCGCUCGUAGGCGGUCGCAUACGGCGGUGGUGAAAGCUCCCGGCUCAACUGGGAGAGGCCCGCCGCAACGGUGCGACUCGAGGAUGGUAGAGGCAGAUGGAAUUCCUGGUGUAGCGGUGAAAUGCGUAGAGAUCAGGAGGAACACCCAUGGCGAAGGCAGUCUGCUGGGCCACACCUGACGCUGAGGAGCGAAAGCUAGGGGAGCGAACGGGAUUAGAAACCCUUGUAGUCC
rnacentral:rRNA from 1 species